rnacentral:rRNA from 2 species
GGGGUGCUAUACAUGCAAGUCGUGACGGAUGCUAUGCACAUAGCUUGCUUUUGAAGAUCAGCGGCGGACGGGUGAGUAACACGUGGGCAACCUGCCUGUAAGACUGGGAUAACUUCGGGAAACCGGAGCUAAUACCGGAUAAUCCUUUCCCUCACAUGAGGGAAAGCUGAAAGACGGUUUCGGCUGUCACUUACAGAUGGGCCCGCGGCGCAUUAGCUAGUUGGUGAGGUAACGGCUCACCAAGGCAACGAUGCGUAGCCGACCUGAGAGGGUGAUCGGCCACACUGGGACUGAGACACGGCCCAGACUCCUACGGGAGGCAGCAGUAGGGAAUCUUCCGCAAUGGACGAAAGUCUGACGGAGCAACGCCGCGUGAACGAUGAAGGCUUUCGGGUCGUAAAGUUCUGUUGUUAGGGAAGAACAAGUACCGGAGUAACUGCCGGUACCUUGACGGUACCUAACCAGAAAGCCACGGCUAACUACGUGCCAGCAGCCGCGGUAAUACGUAGGUGGCAAGCGUUGUCCGGAAUUAUUGGGCGUAAAGCGCGCGCAGGCGGUUCCUUAAGUCUGAUGUGAAAGCCCCCGGCUCAACCGGGGAGGGUCAUUGGAAACUGGGGAACUUGAGUGCAGAAGAGGAGAGCGGAAUUCCACGUGUAGCGGUGAAAUGCGUAGAGAUGUGGAGGAACACCAGUGGCGAAGGCGGCUCUCUGGUCUGUAACUGACGCUGAGGCGCGAAAGCGUGGGGAGCGAACAGGAUUAGAUACCCUGGUAGUCCACGCCGUAAACGAUGAGUGCUAAGUGUUAGAGGGUUUCCGCCCUUUAGUGCUGCAGCAAACGCAUUAAGCACUCCGCCUGGGGAGUACGGCCGCAAGGCUGAAACUCAAAGGAAUUGACGGGGGCCCGCACAAGCGGUGGAGCAUGUGGUUUAAUUCGAAGCAACGCGGAGAACCUUACCAGGU